UGGAUACUCACUUUUUGCAUGUAUUGGAUGGCUCAGUUGCCACCUUCCACUUUGAAGUAAAAGAAAUUGGCCAAAGGCUGACAGAUGAUGAAAUAGAUGAAUUGAAGAAAAGCCGUUACGGGGAUGUUAGAGGCCGCCAUGCUAAUUUAGCUGCUGCUUGAAGCAGAUGUAGCGAAGCAAAUUUCAAGUACUGUAAGAAGGUUUCAGUGGAUGUGCAGCAAGAGCAGGUAGCUUCAAAGCCUUCAUCUGAUUUGGGGAUUGCUACAAAGGCCUCUCUCUGAUUCACAUCUUGACAGUGGGAAUAAGAAUGGAGCAAGUUCUGAUGGCGGCAGCUCCUGCUUGUGUUUCUAGUCCUUUGAAGCAGAAAAAGUACAGAUGGUAGGAAAGGAUUAUGGUUUAUUACUGAACCAGUCCUCAGCAGGAAAAUCUAACUGCUUUGUCCCAAAGUCAAGCUCCUGAAGUGCCUCUAGCAACUUCUGAUGGUAGAAAGGAUGCUAAUCCUGCUCAAGAACGUAGUGGUGUGACGGCUAAGGCUUGCUUUAGUGACAGUCUGUCUUCCUGUUGCUUCUGGUAAAGAUGGUGGCAUUCUUGUUGAAUCUUCUAACAGUGCAAAGGCAUCAACUUCAUUAGCUGUGUGUAACACUAUACCUACAAUAAAGGUUGUAGAUAAGGAGGGAGGGUUCAGAUGCAAUGCCAUUUACUUUGGAAGCUCAGCAUGCUGUUGGUGAUAUAUAUUGUUGGCUUGAGUAAUAUGUCAUUGGUGAAAGAAACAGAAAUUAUUUCCAGCAAAGGAUCUGAAGCAUUGUGGUCUGAUUGUAUGUAUUUUUGGAAAGGUUUCAGUUCUGGCUGGAAAUGCCAACUUUUACAGGUGUACACAAAAUGUGGAAGAAGUGCCAUGCCAUGCCAACCAUGAUGAUGGGGUCUGGUGCUGUGUUUGUGGAGUGUUUGUGGACUGAUAAAUGCUGGAAAUUGUUGCGUUGCUUGUCACAAAGAAGGCUUGUCACAAAGAAGGGUUCUUUGUAUCUUUGGGUUUUUUUUAUCUAACUGAAGUUGUCUCCUUCAAGAUUGUUUGACUUCUUUGAUUAUGGCAAGCUUCUAAAGAUGCAGGAAGCGAUGUGGAACUGCACCAAAUGAGGGCAAUGACACUUUGUUCCUUGGCAAUACUUGGACUAAGGAAGCGAUAAAACAAAAAGCUUAGAGAAUAUACUGUUGAAGGCAUUGAGUACAUUACUCUCGUCCAAGACCCCCUGUGCGUUACUAGGGUUUUGUUUUAUUCAGUUUUCUUGCCAUGCGGAUGCAACGUAUACUUUACAAGAGGCUUCAAAAGCCUGACGCUGUUUUUGUCAUACCGAGAGGAUUGCAAGCAAAGGUUGCUCUUCAAGAGCCCCCGAGCCGGACCCUGAGGUUAUGGCUAAGGUCAAAUCAGAUGGGCUUCCUCCUCAUUGGGAUGAAGAUCGUGUUAGAAAGCAUUUUAAAGGUUAUGGGGACAUUGAACGAACGGAUUACGCUGGCGCGCAAUAUGUCAUCCGCGAAGGGGAAAGAUUUUUUUUGGUUUUGGUUUUGUUGACUUCAUCUCACAUGAGGCUGCCAUUGCUUGCAUAGUGGACGUGAACAGUAAGUAAUUGGAUGAUCGAAACUCAAAGGUAUCUACAAGUUCGUUUCGUUUAUCACUGUUGUUUAAUGUGUGAAAUUGACUUUUCAUGAAAUUGGGAUAUCUCUCUCUACACGCGGAACUCCUUCCUUCCUUCCUUGCUGGUGAUUGUUUAGCAAAGAGAGAGACAAUUGCAGAUGUUUUUCUAUUUAUCUGAAAGAUUGAAAUUGAAAGCUCCAAUAUCUUCAUCAUUUUAUAUAAUAUUAAUAAUAAUUUGUUGUUAUACCGUUGAAUUGAAUUAUAAAUUAUUGUCAUAACUAUAACAUUUUUUUUAUUGUUAUACAUUAACUCCUAUGCUUCGCAAGGCCGCAAGGGUCUAAAACUGGCUGCAAGUUUAUUUUGGGUGGAUGUGAAGCUCUUUCCCUCUCCCACUGAAUUGAAGUUUAAAUUAUAUGGGAAUGAUACAGACUUAAGUAUAAAAUGAUAUGAAAUUCUGCUUAAACAUGUUCACAUUCUGUAGACGACUAUGGUUGAUAUAAACAAUCUUCCAGAUCAUACUUUUCAGCAGUUGACAGGUUACUUCAGUAGGUGCUGUCAUAGCUGUGUAAGGACCUUCUGUUACAUGUUUAUAUGAAGACACACACCUAGAGUCCUAGACUGCUGUUUCAAAACCUACCUCAAGGGUUUAAGAUAAGUUACCAAUCCUGUACAGUGUACACAUUUAGACCCAAAUUAUCAGUUACUAUGAAGUACGGCCUACUGCCUGCAUUUUCACAUAGGUUGUGCAAAUACUUCUUUUAGUAGUGGCAUCCAAACUGAAUUGCCAAUUUAAACAUCAAAUCAAAGGGAUUGUUAAUCAUGGGUGGUAGAACCUCUGCACUUUCAGGAAAAUUUUUCGAAAACUACAAAAUCUCAAGAGGAUGCAAUGACACUGGUAGAUCAGUCAACCAAGUACAAUCAAUAUUAUCCAACUCUUCAAUUCCACAAAUUUCCGAAAUGGAAAUAUCUGUUGAUUUAUGUGGAUUCUCAUAUAUACUUCUUUCUAAUAAAAAAGCAAAUUUGUGUCAUAUGCAGGAGAUUAUUGGUAUGUGUGACUUUGCUGUAAAUGGCUCGAUGAUUCCCUCAGAUCACAAGUCAAGAACGCCUCAUUUUAUUAUCUGAGUAAGCAAAAUCUGUUUUUGCAAAGCAUGUUGUGGAAGUCAUGCUAUCAGAAAGUAUGUCUUAAGGUUGCGUUUAAUUACCAAGGUCCAAAUCAUGCAAUGCUGGAGGUCUGGAAUCCUCUUGGGAUAGUGGGUGUAAUCACAGCAUUCAAUUUUCCAAGCGCUGUUCUUGGUGCCCCAACAACUCCAUUGCAAUAACCUAUAUCAUAGCUGGUGCAUUUGAGAAGAAUAAUUUGUCAGGAGCAAUUUUCACCUCCCUUUGCGGUGUGGCUGAAAUCGGUCAAGUAAUUGUAAAAGAUACACGCAUUGCAUUUGUUUCUUUUACAGGAAGUUCUAAAGAGUUCAUAAACUACGGCAUAAUCACCGCAUGCGACCUAUGUUCAUUCCUUUGAUUCUCUUAUACUUCUCUCCAUCAGUAGACCAUCCAUCAACAACAGUAGCAGGAAAUCAGCAGCAACCUCAACAAACGCCUCUUGUUUGACCGCCGCUACGGUUGGGUGUUAGUCUCUCUCUCUUUGUCUCUUCUUACACUGCAAAAUUCUAUGUUAGAUAACCACUCUAUAUUCAUGGCCAAACUAUGAUUCCUUUUAGAUAAACCCAUCUCAAUAAGCUUUUGCUGGUGCUCGUGGAAUGUAAUUCCUCUACCACUACUUAUUAUUUAUUUAUUUUAAUUGUUAAUUUUAUCUCUAUUUUUUUCUUGUAAAUGUUUAUAUUAUCUAUCUAUCUAUCUAUCUAUUUAAUUUAAUUUCAAUGUAUGUAUUUUUGAUGUUUGAUUAGGUUCUGCAUCGUCCCUCUUGCAAAAUCAUUGCUAGAUUUGACCUCUCACUCAGUUGGUUAUUCUUCUCUACUCUUUAACUGCUUGAAUUGUAUACUUAAGUUAUUGAUAUUUACCAAGUUUUUAGCUUUGCGUUUUGAUGUUGUAACUUUGUAUUCUUGCAUAAGAUUUUUUGUUUCACUCAAUAAGUUUUGUAACCCAUAUAGAUUAUAUUUUGUAAAGAGCUUAUGCAAAUAUGCAACCAAUCACUAUUACUUCGUACUGUGCGUAGUAAAGAACUAAAGACUAAGACUAGGAGACAGGUUUUGUUUUAUGCACUGUUGAAUCUAUCUUAAUAAAUAGGUUUCCAAUUUAGUGCAUAAUUUGCUUGCUAAACUAGAUGUUUAAGCUUUGGCUACUGCUAUAGAUGUUUUUGGAUGGAAAAAGCGCUGUUAUUGGUAGCAAUCUUUGGGGUAAAAUAUGUAUUGAAUGCAUGUUUUGAUUUAAAUGUGAUUUCGAAUCACAAUAAUGGUGGUUUGGGAAUGGCCUUAUAGUUGAAAUGUUAUUGUUAGCAAUCUUUGGGGCACAGUAUGUAACUAUGUAUUGAUCGCAUGUUCUGUUUUAGAAGUAACAUCUAAUCAGAAUAAAGAUGGUUUGAGCUUGGUUACUUAGUUGAAAGCCUGGUGAUGUAUAUGUGUAGUGUCUAGCUGCAGUGUUUAACCUUUUUUACUGCAAGUGAUCACUGAUGGCAGCAUAUCAGUAACUGCAGUAUCAUAUAAGCUGCAUUCAGAAAUCAGAAGAAGAUUGUCAGUUUUAGCAGAUUAAAUCUUACAGUAUAUGCAAUAUCAUAGUAAGACCCUUAGAAUCAUACUCUUAUUUGCACCUCAGCCUUCGACUGGCAAACUGAAUAAUCAGAUGUCGAGUGUGGCACCAGCUCUUGUUGUGUGUUCUUGGAAAUACUUUAUAGUAUAGUAGAUUUUAGCUAUAAGCAUAAUAAAGCGUAGCCUUGCAUGAUUGUUGGGAAAAUAACAGCUUAACUCUUUAUAGGAUUUGAGGAAUCUUGAAAUUAGAUAAAUAUAAGUUAAUGAUUGAUAAAGUAUUAUGAAACUUCGUUGCUUGGUCUUUCAAGAACAUAAACACAUGCACAGAUGGAAAUGUCAGAAUAUGUACCCGAAUUUUUCAGAAAAGACCAUAAGUCAUGCUGUUUCUUGUACUCCUUUGGCCCCCCCUUAAGUUUGAUUUACUCUGCUUGUAUCAAGUACACUGUAUCGUUCAAUUAACAAUUAAUUUCUGCUCAUUCUUUGGUUAUAAUUGAAACAUGUGAUCAUAUUAUAUUGUUAUCAUAUCAUAUUGUUUAUGAGUUAGUUUUGUGAUGAUGAGUUUCAAGUAACUUAUUUAUGCUGAAUGCAGCUUCAUUGUUGACGAAUAUGGUUUUCCUUGGCAUCUUGGUGAGCAGUUAUAAAUUUUAAGGAGUUUCCGUUGGCCUCUUCACAUAAGAACAUUUCGGCUUACAGCACCUCAUUGUCCAUAUUAUAUGUGACAAGAACCCCACCAUUACAAAUUCUGUCAAGCCUGAAAUCAGUUUGUAUUUAUUGUCUCAGACAAAAGCUGUUUUGUAUGUACUUUCACUGUCAUUUGAUUGACGCUACAUCAUGCAGACUCUAGGCAAUAGAAAUAAAUAACUCCUUCCCCAGGGUUUAAGUAGCUCAUCUUCACUCAGAAGCUACUUCAGAUGGAUCGGGCCUGUGGUGGCAUAGUGAAUGUAAACAUCCCCACAAACGAUGCUGAAAUCGGUGGUGCCUUUGGAGGUGGCAGGGAAGCAGGAAGUGACUUAUGGAAACAAUACAUGAGGCUUGCAACAUGUUGUAUUUAGUGAUCCAGGUCAAGGUAUAAGGUGCAAGCUAUACCUGGAUAUCUAUCUUAUCCGCAAGGGAUUUACUGAAAAGAGGUAUUAGGUCAAGGUAUAAGGUGGAAGCUAUACCUGGAGAUCUAUCUUAUCCGCAAGGGAUUUACUGAAAAGAGGUAUUAUGAAAGUGGUGGGUAGUGGUGCCUCAAUUCGGAUCUGGGAGGACCUGUGGGUUCCAGACCAACCGAGCAGGAAGGGUUCACCAAGGAAGACAGAACAGCAAAACUGGACUCAGAGAACAGACCACCUUCUAGGAAGGGUGCCUGGACCCAGGACCAACCAAGCAGGUAGUUGUGGCAAAUAUUCUAUCUAUUCCUUUGCCAAAAUUUGAGGAUAAAGACUCCGGAUCUGGAGGUACUCAAGAGAUGGAUCUUCAAUUUUAUCAGAUGUCUCCGAAGAGACGAGAUGGAAACUUUUCUGUCAAAGUGCUUACUAUGUGGAGCUUGAGAGUAAGAAAAAAGCUGGGUUUCUGAUCCUAAAUCUUUGGAGGAAUUUGUGGAAGGCUGAAAUCGUUCCAAAAUUUAAAAAAAAAAUUGGCUGCAGAAUGCUACGUGAGGCUUUACCUGUUGCUGAGAAAUUGAAACUUUGAGGUUUAAAGUUGUGGAUUUAGCUAAUGAUCGUAGAAGCAAACCCCCAAUUUUUGAGAUUAGAGCAAUUUGUGCAACCUUCAUAAUCAAUGUAUCACUAUUGCACUGUUGAAGGUAAAUUAAAAUCAAAAUUAUAAUUAUAAUUAUAAUUAUAAUUCUCUUAUUUAUUACAAUAUUAUUACAAUUAAAAAGUGCUGUGGA